UACGUAGGUGGCAAGCGUUGUCCGGAAUCAUUGGGCGUAAAGAGCGCGUAGGUGGCUUGUCAGGUCUGAUGUGAAAUUUCGGGGCUCAACCCCGAACCUGCAUCGGAAACCGGCUUGCUAGAGUCUGGGAGAGGAGAGUGGAAUUCCUGGUGUAGCGGUGAAAUGCGUAGAUAUCAGGAGGAACACCGGUAGCGAAGGCGGCUCUCUGGAACAGUACUGACGCUGAGGCGCGAAAGCUAGGGGAG
rnacentral:rRNA from 1 species